UGUGUCUUAAAAAUUAUUUAUUAUUAAUUAAUAGUUAAUGAAUGAAAAUGUCGAAAUUUAACUUAAAACUGUUAAUUACUGUGUUUGUGCUACGUUUUGAUAAAGUAAAUAACACACAGAGUCACGGACUUCCACAAUUUGAAGAAUAUUUUUGCAAAAACAAUAGAAAAGUUGUGUCGUUAUCUCAUAUCGGAUUAGGUAAUGGCUACAAAGUCAUGAUUAAUAAGAAAUUAAAUUCUUCAAUAGAAAUAAAAGUAAAACUAGACUCUGUUGGAACAAUCUCAUUCAUAGGUGAUGCAAGAUUUACAGGCGACAAAGAUCUUAUUAAUAAUAUAUAUAAUUUUAUUUUACUCGAAGAUUCUCGUAAUUUUACCUUCAGUGUUAAGGGAAAAUUACGACCUCAUCAUCCACCUUACGUGAUAAGUUUGAAAAUCAAUGGCAAAGAAAACUGCUUUAAUCCUAACAGGUCAUAUUUUGAAAAAUAUCAACCAGGUACUGAAGCAUUUUGGCCUCAAGCGACUGACAAAUUCUGUGGAAGACGUAGAAUAAAUACAAAAUAUACAGAACUACUGGUUAGUGGAUCCGCAUCAAAAUCCGGUGAAUGGCCUUGGCAUAUUACAAUGUACAAACUCAAGAAGGAUACUCUUGAAUACAUAUGUGGUGGAACCCUUAUUUCAAAAUUUUCAGUUUUAACAG